rnacentral:rRNA from 1 species
AUUGAACGCUGGCGGCAGGCUUAACACAUGCAAGUCGAGCGGUAACAGAGAGAAGCUUGCUUCUCUGCUGACGAGCGGCGGACGGGUGAGUAAUGCCUAGGAAUCUGCCUAGUAGUGGGGGAUAACUUGCCGAAAGGUAAGCUAAUACCGCAUACGUUCUACGGGAGAAAGGAGGGGACCUUCGGGCCUUUCGCUAUUAGAUGAGCCUAGGUCGGAUUAGUUAGUUGGUGAGGUAAUGGCUCACCAAGACCGCGAUCCGUAACUGGUCUGGGAGGAUGAUCAGGCACACUGGAACCGAGAAACGGGCCGGACUCCGACGGGAGGCAGCAGUGGGGAAUAUUGGAAAAUGGGGGGAACCCUGAUCCGGCCAUGCCGCGUGUGUGAAGAAGGUCUUAGGAUUGUAAAGCACUUUAAGUUGGGAGGAAGAGCAGUUAACUAAUAUUUGACUGUGUUGACGUUACCGACAGAAUAAGCACCGGCUAACUUCGUGCCAGCCGCCGCAGUAA